rnacentral:rRNA from 1 species
CCUACGGGAGGCUGCAGUGAGGAAUAUUGGUCAAUGGACGAGAGUCUGAACCAGCCAAGUAGCGUGAAGGAUGACUGCCCUAUGGGUUGUAAACUUCUUUUAUAAAGGAAUAAAACGAGGCACGUGUGCCUUUUUGCAUGUACUUUAUGAAUAAGGAUCGGCUAACUCCGUGCCAGCAGCCGCGGUAAUACGGAGGAUCCGAGCGUUAUCCGGAUUUAUUGGGUUUAAAGGGAGCGUAGAUGGGUUGUUAAGUCAGUUGUGAAAGUUUGCGGCUCAACCGUAAAAUUGCAAUUGAUACUGGCAGUCGUGAGUACAGUUGAGGUAGGCGGAAUGCGUGGUGUAGCGGUGAAAUGCUUAGAUAUCACGAAGAACCCCGAUUGCGAAGGCAGCUUACUAAACUGUGACUGACAUUGAUGCUCGAAAGUGUGGGUAUCAAACAGGAUUAGAUACCCUUGUAGUC